UGUGGCCAAGCUACUAAGGGCCGGCGGUGGAUGCCUCGGGCGCGGGAGGCGAAGAAGGGCGUGGCAAGCUGCGAAAAGCCACGGGGAGCCGCAAGCAGGCGUUGAUCCGUGGAUGCCCGAAUGGGGGAACCCGGCCAGGGUAAUACCUGGUCAUCCACGGGUGAACACAUAGCCCGUGGAGGCGAUACCCGGGGAAGUGAAACAUCUCAGUACCCGGAGGAGAAGAAAUCAACCGAGAUUCCCUGAGUAGCGGCGAGCGAAAGGGGAGUAGCCCAAACCGAGUGGGUGUAAAAGCCCCUGGGCGUUGCCCACUCGGGGUAGAGGGGGCACACCGGAGGAGGCCAGGGACUCCUCGGGGAGUUACAAAACCGCUUGUCUAGCCGAAGGCACCUGGAAUGGUCCGCCGUAGAGGGUGAGAGCCCCGUAGGCGAAAGGCAAGCGGUCUCCCUGGGUGUGCUACCCAAGUAGCACGGGGCACGUGGAACCCCGUGUGAAUCAGGGGGGACCACCCUCCAAGGCUAAAUACUACCCGCGCACCGAUAGUGCAUCAGUACCGUGAGGGAAAGGUGAAAAGAACCCCGGGAGGGGAGUGAAAUAGAACCUGAAACCGCCGGCUUACAAGCAGUCGGAGCCCCGCCACCCAUUUAAGCUCACUUAUUAGGAGAACAAGUGGUGUAUUACGUGUAUUUGUUGGUAAGCGAAAAGGGCGAGAGGUACAUAGGGUAUACGAAGGAUUUGAGGCGGAGGUUAGAGGAGCACAAUGCGGGAUUAAACAGGUCGACACGGGGGCGGAAGUGGGAGUUGGUGUAUUACGAAGCGUAUAGAGAGGAGAGGUUAGCGAGGAGACGAGAGAGGAGGCUUAAGGUUAGUUGGAAGUUGAGGGCGGCGUUGUACAGGAGGUUAGGGAUAUAGGAGUGGGUUUAGAUGGGUGGCGGGGUGACGGCGUGCCUUUUGCAUAAUGAGCCCGGGAGUUGUCGUCAGCGGCGAGGCUAAGCCGUUGAGGUGGAGCCGUAGCGAAAGCGAGUCCGAAUAGGGCGAUGAGUCGCUGGCGGCAGACCCGAAGCGGGACGAGCUACCCAUGGCCAGGGUGAAGGCGGGGUAACACCCGCUGGAGGCCCGAACCGGUGGAGGGUGAAAACUCCUCGGAUGAGCUGUGGGUAGGAGUGAAAAGCUAAUCGAGUCCCGUGAUAGCUGGUUCUCCCCGAAAUGCAUUGAGGUGCAGCCUCGGGUGGUCGCUGCCGGGGGUAGAGCACUGUUGGGGCUAGGGGGGUUACCGCCCUACCGAACCCCGACAAACUCCGAAUACCGGCAGAUGCAGCCCGGGAGUGAGCCGCUGGGUGAUAAAGUCCAGCGACGAGAGGGGAACAACCCAGACCGCCAGCUAAGGUCCCGAAGUCCUGGCUAAGUGGUAAAGGAGGUGGCCCUGCUUAGACAACCAGGAUGUUGGCUUAGAAGCAGCCAUCAUUUAAAGAGUGCGUAACAGCUCACUGGUCGAGCGGGGCUGCGCCGAAAAUACCACGGGGCUUAAGCCAGGCGCCGAAGCUGCGGACUCAUGUCUUUUUGGGCAUGAGUGGUAGGGGAGCACUCUGGUUGCCGUUGAAGGCGGACCCGUGAGGGCCGCUGGAGGUACCGGAGGAGAGAAUCCGGGCACGAGUAGCGAUAAAGAGGGUGAGAAUCCCUCUCGCCGUAAGCCCAAGGUUUCCUGGGGAAGGGUCGUCCGCCCAGGGUUAGCCGGUCCCUAAGGCGAGGCCGGAAGGCGUAGCCGAUGGGAAGAGGGGUUAACAAUCCCCCGCCACCGAGGUGGAGGCCAAGGGGUGACGCAGGAGGGAAGGGCGCCGGGGCCGCGAAUGGCAGGCCCUCCAAACCUGUAGCCCGAAGACGGGGCGAGGCAAAUCCCGCCCCCGAGGGUGAGGGGGAGUAAGUAACCGGGAGUUACGGCUCCCGGGAAGGCGCUCGGACCACACUGCCGGGAAAUAGCCUCGUGGCCGAUGAAGCCUUGGUGACCGUACCGCAAACCGACACAGGUGGGCGGGCAGAGAAUGCUCAGGCGCGUGGGGUAACCCUGGCUAAGGAACUCGGCAAAUUGGCCCCGUAACUUCGGGAGAAGGGGUGCCUCCUCUGGUGAAGGCCCUUAGCGGCUGGAGCUGGGGGAGGUUGCAGGGAAUCGGCGGUGGCGACUGUUUACCAAAAACACAGGGCUCUGCUAAGUCGUAAGACGACGUAUAGGGCCUGACGCCUGCCCGGUGCCGGAAGGUGAAGGGGCGGGGUUAGGGGGGUUGACCCCCGAAGCUCUGCCUUGAAGCCCCGGUAAACGGCGGCCGUAACUAUAACGGUCCUAAGGUAGCGAAAUUCCUUGUCGGGUAAGUUCCGACCUGCAUGAAUGGCGUAACGACUGCCGCACUGUCUCGGCCAGGGUCCCAGCGAAACUGUAGUCUCGGUGAAGAUGCCGGGUACCCGCGGUGGGACGGAAAGACCCCGUGAAGCUUUACUGCAGCUUGGCAUUGCAUUUCGGGGCAGGAUGUGCAGGAUAGGUGGGAGGCAGGGAAGCCGGGGCGCCAGCCUCGGUGGAGCCGUCCUUGAGAUACCACCCUUCCUGCUUCGGGGUGCUAACCUGGUGGGGUGAGCCUCCACAGGGACAGUGCCUGGCGGGCAGUUUGACUGGGGCGGUCGCCUCCUGAAGGGUAACGGAGGCGUCCAAAGGUCCCCUCAGGCGGAUUGGAAACCCGCCGUUGAGUGCAAGGGCAUAAGGGGGCUUGACUGCGAGGCCGACGGGCCGAGCAGGGGCGAAAGCCGGGCCUAGUGAUCCGGCGGUGCCGAGUGGAAGGGCCGUCGCUCAACGGAUAAAAGUUACUCCGGGGAUAACAGGCUGAUCACCCCCAAGAGUUCACAUCGACGGGGUGGUUUGGCACCUCGAUGUCGGCUCAUCCCAUCCUGGGGCUGGAGAAGGUCCCAAGGGUCGGGCUGUUCGCCCGUUAAAGGGGUACGUGAGCUGGGUUCAGAACGUCGUGAGACAGUUCGGUCCCUAUCCACCGCGGGCGCAGGAGGCUUGAGGGGAGCUGCCCCUAGUACGAGAGGACCGGGGUGGACGCACCUCUGGUGGCCCGGUUGUCGCACCAGCGGCACAGCCGGGUAGCCAUGUGCGGAAGGGAUAACCGCUGAAAGCAUCUAAGCGGGAAGCCCACCCCAAGAUUAGGCCUCCCGCGGGUGGGGCAACCCACCCCCUGAAGGGCCCUCCGAGAACAGGAGGUUGAUAGGCCGGAGGUGGAAGCCCGGUAACGGGUGGAGCCGACCGGUACUAAUCGCCCGUGCGGCUUGGCCACAGCUG
rnacentral:rRNA from 1 species